rnacentral:lncRNA from 1 species
UUGCAAAUUAAAAACAUUUUUUUUUUUGUACAUCACUGUUUCUACAAUUUGAUAUAACACGCAUAGUAUUACAAAUUAUAAAAAUGUACAUUCAUAUGUAUUCAUAUGUAUGUAACAUGUAAAUAUAUAUAUAUAUAUAUAUAUAUAUAUAUGUAUAUAUAUUUAUCUAUUCAUUCUCGCGCUCCUAUUUUUUUUUUUUUUUUUUUUUUUUUUUUUGCAUUAUUUAAAUUAAAAAAAAAUGAAUAAAUAUAUGAGCUCAACUAGUACCAUUUUAAAUGACAAAAAGAAUGUUGAAAAUGCUUUAAAACAUAACUUAUUAGAGACUAAAAAUUUGAUGAAUGCUAAAAAUGAACAAAAUGACGCAUUGUAUAGUGAAAUAAAAAAAAAUUUGUUAAAAUUGGAAAAAGUGUUUUUGGAUAAUGUAAUACUACAAGUAAAAAAAAAAACUCCUCCCACUACUAAAAGUUCAGUUGAAAAAAAUGCUAUGACUCAAUUAAAUAAAUAUAAAAAAAGCAUUGAAGUGUUAAAAUCUAAAGUAACUACAGAUAACAAUACAGAUAAAAUAGUAAAGUUACAAAACAAGCUAAAAGAAAAUGAAGAAAUCUUACAAAAAUUAAAUAAUGAUAAAGAAGCAUUAGAAAAUGUAACAAAAACACAAGUAAAAGCUAUUGAUGAACUUGGCUUAAGCGAAACACAAUUAUCUAUACAAGGAAAAUAUGAAGAAAUAAGACAAUUAAAAGAAGACUUAAUAAAAUUAAAAAAUAUAUAUAACGAAAAUGAAAACACUUUGAAAAAAAAACAAGAACAGUUGCUUAAUAUAGAUAGUCAAUUAAAAAAAAAAAUCUUAUCUAUCAAAAAUGCUAAAACAAAUACAACUAUAUCAACUGUCAAUGCAACUAAUAACAAUGGAUUAAUGUUAAACAAUAAUAAAAAUUUAUACAAUUUCCAAAUACAAACAUUAAAAGCUCAAAUUGAUAUGAUUAAUGAAAAUAUAAUUAGCGACCAAAAAGCUUACGAUGAAAAAAUUUCCGAACUAGAACAAAACAUUACUGCUUCUGAAAAUGAUGUAGAGUUUUUAAAUUCGCAAAUCAACGAAAUAAAAAAGAACAUUGAAAAAAUCACUUUAGACUUAAAAAAAAUGAGAAGACAGAAAAAGGAAAUGUAACUUUAAUAAAAAAAAAGUUUUUUUCUCA